rnacentral:rRNA from 1 species
UACAGAGGGGGCAAGCGUUGUUCGGAAUUACUGGGCGUAAAGGGCGCGUAGGCGGCCUUCUAAGUCGAACGCGAAAUCCCCGGGCUCAACCCGGGAACUGCGUCCGAUACUGGAAGGCUUGAAUCCGGGAGAGGGAUGUGGAAUUCCAGGUGUAGCGGUGAAAUGCGUAGAUAUCUGGAGGAACACCGGUGGCGAAGGCGACAUCCUGGACCGGUAUUGACGCUGAGGCGCGAAAGCCAGGGGAGCAAACGGG